rnacentral:rRNA from 1 species
GAUGAACGCUGGCGGCGUGCCUAACACAUGCAAGUCGAACGAACGGACGAUAAGCUUUUGUUCCUGAUGUUAGCGGCUGACGGGCGGGUAACACGUGGAUAACCAACCUAUUUGUCGUGGAUAAUUUCGUGAAACCGGAGCUAAUACCGCCUCAUACUAUGUACCGCAUGGUUCAAAAGUUCUACACGGCUUUCCCGUCACUUAUAGCUGGUUCCGCGCUGCAUUAGCUAGUUGGUAAGGUAACGGCUCACCAAGGCGACGAUGCGUAGCCGAUCUGAGAGGAUGAUCGGCCACACUGGAACUGAGACACGGUCCAGACUCCUACGGGAGGCAGCAGUGGGGAAUAUUGCACAAUGGGCGCAAGCCUGACCGAGCAACACCGCGUGAGUGAUGAAGGUCUUCGGGUUGUAAAGCCCUGUUGUUGGGAAAGAACAGAUGUAGAAGAAACCGUGCCCAUCCUGACGGUACCUAAUGAAAAAGCAACGGCUAACUACGUG